GGCCCACCAAGGCGACGAUCGGUAGCCGGACUGAGAGGUUGAACGGCCACAUUGGGACUGAGACACGGCCCAGACUCCUACGGGAGGCAGCAGUGGGGAAUAUUGCACAAUGGGGGAAACCCUGAUGCAGCGACGCCGCGUGGAGGAAGAAGGUCUUCGGAUUGUAAACUCCUGUUGUUGAGGAAGAUAAUGACGGUACUCAACAAGGAAGUGACGGCUAACUACGUGCCAGCAGCCGCGGUAAAACGUAGGUCACAAGCGUUGUCCGGAAUUACUGGGUGUAAAGGGAGCGCAGGCGGGAAGACAAGUUGGAAGUGAAAUCUAUGGGCUCAACCCAUAAACUGCUUUCAAAACUGUUUUUCUUGAGUAGUGCAGAGGUAGGCGGAAUUCCCGGUGUAGCGGUGGAAUGCGUAGAUAUCGGGAGGAACACCAGUGGCGAAGGCGGCCUACUGGGCACCAACUGACGCUGAGGCUCGAAAGUGUGGGUAGCAAACAGGAUUAGAUACCCUGGUAGUCCACACCGUAAACGAUGAUUACUAGGUGUUGGAGGAUUGACCCCUUCAGUGCCGCAGUUAACACAAUAAGUAAUCCACCUGGGGAGUACGACCGCAAGGUUGAAACUCAAAGGAAUUGACGGGGGCCCGCACAAGCAGUGGAGUAUGUGGUUUAAUUCGACGCAACGCGAAGAACCUUACCAAGUCUUGACAUCCUGCGACGGACAUAGAAAUAUGUUUUUCCUUCGGGACGCAGAGACAGGUGGUGCAUGGUUGUCGUCAGCUCGUGUCGUGAGAUGUUGGGUUAAGUCCCGCAACGAGCGCAACCCUUACUGUCAGUUACUACGCAAGAGGACUCUGGCAGGACUGCCGUUGACAAAACGGAGGAAGGUGGGGAUGACGUCAAAUCAUCAUGCCCUUUAUGACUUGGGCUACACACGUACUACAAUGGCGUUAAACAAAGAGAAGCAAGACCGCGAGGUGGAGCAAAACUCAGAAACAACGUCCCAGUUCGGACUGCAGGCUGCAACUCGCCUGCACGAAGUCGGAAUUGCUAGUAAUCGUGGAUCAGCAUGCCACGGUGAAUACGUUCCCGGGCCUUGUACACACCGCCCGUCACACCAUGAGAGCCGGGGGGACCCGAAGUCGGUAGUCUAACCGCAAGGAGGACGCCGCCGAAGGUAAAACUGGUGAUUGGGGUGAAGUCGUAACAAGGUAGCCGUAGGAGAACCUGCGGCUGGAUCACCUCCUUU
rnacentral:rRNA from 1 species